GAUGAGAUGGCUGGGUGGUUAAGGUGGUGGACUGCUAAUUCAUUAUGCUCUGCAUGUGUGGGUUCAAAUCCCACUCUUGUCA